ensembl:lncRNA
CAGAAGCAGAGCCUGAUGUAUUGCAGGAUUCCUCUGCCUCAAACAGUUCGCUCAGUCUUACUCUAAAGACACCGGCCAUUCUUGCGAGCUCUAAGAGAAGCCAAUUCCAGCGAAAACCAACCAAUCUGAAACUGGUCACUGAGGAGGUGUUUGAUGAAGCUCUACAAGUCCGUUUGCAAAAAUAUUCAGAGCCAUCUGAGUCACUAGCAAGCAGAAUGGAAGGAGAUUCCUCCUGGCAAGGAUUCACUCUUGGCUUGUCUGAUGUCACUGUUCCCGACCUCACCACUGAUAUAAUAAUGAGCAACACUGCGCUCUACCCCCGACCAGAAACAGCCGACAAUGUGAAAGAGUUGCAGGCAAAUCCCUCUCAGAAAGAGGAGUUUAAAGAUCUAAACCAACGGACUGGAAUCAGAGAAGUGAGCAGUACACAUCCUGAAGAGAUGGUUCCUGAGACCCAGGAAGAGGAGUUUAAAGAUCUAAACCAACGGACUGGAAUCAGAGAAGUGAGCAGUACACAUCCUGAAGAGAUGGUUCCUGAGACCCAGGAAGAGGAGUUUAAAGAUCUAAACCAACGGACUGGAAUCAGAGAAGUGAGCAGUACACAUCCUGAAGAGAUGGUUCCUGAGACCCAGGAGGAGGAUGAGUUUGUGUCUAGGACAGCAUCUCAGACUGCAGAUAUGGAUUACAUAGAACCUGUGAAGGGAGAGUCCGAAGAAAUAACUGCGCCUGGAUCUGCAGAAGAAAUAGCUGCGCCUGGAUCUGCAGAAGAAAUAAUUGAGCCUGGAUCUGCAGAAGAAAUAAUUGAGCCUGGAUCUGCAGAGGAAAUAACUGCGCCUGGAUCUGCAG